rnacentral:lncRNA from 1 species
ACCGCGCGACAACUCUUCGCGCGCGCCUGAGAGGCGAGACCCCAUGAGGGGAGUGAAGCGUGCGGGCUGAAGGAAGGGAAGCGUGGUGGUGGGCGGAGUCCUGCCACCUGCUCUGGCCACCCUUAAACUCUCUAGGUCUUCAGCUACCUUGAAACCAAAAAACCGUGACGGCGUAACUGACUCGCGAAAGUGCUCUUUGGUUUCACUCACGCCCCCUCGGGCUCAGGGCUAACUUUCCCCACCGCUCCAGGGGGGUCAAGGUGACUCCCAGACCUUACAUCUGAGACGCACAAACUUCCGGG